UACAUGUGGGGCAAGCGUUGUUCGGAAUUACUGGGCAUAAAGGGUGCGUAGGCGGCUUGUUAAGUCAGGGGUGAAAGUUUUCGGCCCAACCGGAAAAUUGCCUUUGAUACUGGCGAGCUCGAGUGCGUGAGGGGUAACCGGAACGAGCAGUGUAGCGGUGAAAUGCGUAGAUAUUGCUCGGAAGGCCAACGGCGAAGGCAGGUUACUGGUACGCAACUGACGCUGGAGGCACGAAAAGCGUGGGGGAGCAAA
rnacentral:rRNA from 1 species